GACUCUUAGCGGUGGAUCACUCGGCUGGUGCGUGGAUGAAAAUGCAGCUAACAUUUUUAGAAUUAAAGUGAAUUGCAGGACACAUUGAUCACCGACACUUUAAACGCACUUGAGGGAUCCCUGGGUGGCGCAGCGGUU
rfam:Canis lupus familiaris chromosome 13, whole genome shotgun sequence.